rnacentral:misc_RNA from 1 species
GAAAAGAGGACGCGGACAGUCUAGUGGAUACGUUAUUAUCAUCCAACACUAAUGUCUCUGUGAUUCCAAUAGUUGGGAUUGGGAAGACAACACUUGCGCAACUAGCCUACUGUGACAAGAGAGUUGCCAGCCAUUUUGAUUUGAAGAUGUGGAUCUCUGUGUGUGAUCAUUUUAAUCCAAAAAAGAUCAUGGCUGAAAUGUUG